CAGCCGCCGCGGUAAUACGUAGGUGGCAAGCGUUGUCCGGAAUCAUUGGGCGUAAAGCGCGCGCAGGCGGUCCUUUAAGUCUGAUGUGAAAUCUUGCGGCUCAACCGUAAGCGGUCAUUGGAAACUGGGGGACUUGAGUGCAGGAGAGGAAAGCGGAAUUCCAUGUGUAGCGGUGAAAUGCGUAGAGAUAUGGAGGAACACCAGUGGCGAAGGCGGCUUUCUGGCCUGUAACUGACGCUGAGGCGCGAAAGCGUGGGAGCAAACAGGAUUAGAUACCCUGGUAGUCCACGCCGUAAACGAUGAGUGCUAAGUGUUGGAGGGUUUACGCCCUUCAGUGCUGCAGCUAACGCAUUAAGCACUCCGCCUGGGGAGUACGGUCGCAAGACUGAAACUUAAAGGAAUUGGCGGG
rnacentral:rRNA from 1 species